rnacentral:lncRNA from 1 species
GGCGGUUCUCUAUUGAUGAAAAUACCCUUCAUAAAUCAUCAUUAUCCCCCUCUGGCUGGCGCCCUCCCAGUAAUUAUCUCCGAAUGCCACUUGCUUCGUCAGCUCAUAACCAGAAUAUUCAAAACCCUGAAGAAGAAAAAAAAACUGACACCUCUCUCUCUCUCUCUCUCUCUCUCUCUCUCUCUCUCUCUCUCUUUAGUGCAAACACUGCGAUUUUUCAAACACUGCGAUUGACUGAAACACUUGAAGUUGGAUGAUGUUUUCAUAGAAGAUGAGGGGUUUUUCAAAUGGAUCUCAUGUUCAUGUAAGUGCGUCAAGGAGUUACAUCUUGAAGAUAUUUUUGGAAUAAAUCAGAUCACCAUUGCAAGCUCCUCUUUGAAAUCUUUUAGUUUUGUGCUUGAAAUUUUCAGGGGAUGAUGUAUGGAUUGGCCAAAGUUUGGGGAAAUCUACGUCUUUAGAAAAAGCCCAGUUUUUUCUGGAAUCUAAUGGCCGUUGCUUUAAAAUAUUGUCUGAGGUUCUCUGCAGUAUAAACAAGGUUGAAACUCUUGUUCUAAACAGAGAGACCACCAUGGUAACUAGACACUACUCUUCAAGAUGUUCUUUUUAUUUAAUGGUUUUUGUUUUUUCAAUUUUGUCUUGUUUAGUUUAUGUUCUUUCCCAGCAUGGCAAUAGGGGUAAGUUAAUUUCAGAAAACUGAUGGCAAUAAAAUUUGGUUAUAUUUUUCAUUAAUUUUGGUUAUACUGGCUAGAAUGAAAUUUCAUGUUGAUGUUUCUUGUUUGUUUUAGAAUUGUCAGUCUGAAACUUUGUAAUAGUACUUUGACAGAUCAAGUACUUCAAAAACCAUGAUAGUUUCAACUUUUAGUUAGUAAUUCUAUGGAGAUUUCAUGCCACUGCUAUUAGAGAAUGUUUGUUAUUUGUCUAUUCAUGUUGGAAGCUUUCGUGAUUUGCCAGUCCCAGGAAUGGUCUCCACUUUUCAAGGAAUGUGUAAUUUGAGUACUUUGGAAAUAAUGUCUGACCCAGAAUUCCUUGAACCUAAAACUGAUGUAAGUGAAAGUGUUGCCUAUUUCUUUCCCCCCCUCUUUCAUUAUUAGUUUUUUUUUGGGUGCGGAAAUUUCAACUGAUUUGCUUGUUGAUUGUUGCCUUUCCUGUAGUGUUCUGGGUUUAAUAUGGGAUAUUGGAGAUUGCAAAACAUUUCUUUUAUUCAUCAACUUAAGGAGUAACCAUAGAGCUUUCCAUUGGAUCUAAUGGAAUUCAGUUUGCAAAAUAUGUGCUCGAGCAUGCGCAGAAUUUGAAGAAAAUGACAGUUUUUCAUUCACCUCAGCAGUCGAAAGCUGCAAGGAAGAUAACAAAAAGCAUGAUUGCUUCCAGUGCCAAACCUGUCUUUUUGGAGGAUAGAGAAAGAGGAAGAUAAUCAUAAUCUGAACUGCUCACCAGAUGAAGGAGGUCGUCAAGGGUUGUCUCCCCAGACUUCCAGAGAGCUCAAUCAGAUCAACUGUCUUCCCUAUGCUGUUCGAUGUUUUGUUUGAAUAAAGUGUACGUGUUAUUUUCGUUUAACUCAACUGCGUACUGAUUGACAAUCCUAGACCAUUUGUGCUUUUUUUUGAAGUCAAAAGUAAACUGCGUAGAGGUUCCUCCAAUAUUUUAAGAGCCACAUAAUUUGGUAGAUUACAAGAAGCUUAUAGUUUUUGACCUUUUUAGUAGCUGCUUUUUGUUGCUAGCCUGUUUGGCCGUUUUGAUUGCCACCCAACUCAGAAAUUCUAUCCCUGGAAAUAUGUUAAAUCAAUUCCAUGGACUAUCCAAUAUUAGUGCACAUGAUGGAUUUUCAGGGGACGAUAAUUUACUUAAAGAACA